rnacentral:rRNA from 1 species
UACGAAGGGGGCUAGCGUUGCUCGGAAUUACUGGGCGUAAAGCGCACGUAGGCGGCUUUCUAAGUCGGGGGUGAAAUCCUGGAGCUCAACUCCAGAACUGCCUUCGAUACUGGAGAGCUCGAGUCCGGGAGAGGUGAGUGGAACUGUGAGUGUAGAGGUGAAAUUCGUAGAUAUUCGCAAGAACACCAGUGGCGAAGGCGGCUCACUGGCCCGGUACUGACGCUGAGGUGCGAAAGCGUGGGGAGCAAACAGG